rnacentral:rRNA from 1 species
AGGGAAUCUUGCGCAAUGGGCGAAAGCCUGACGCAGCAACGCCGCGUGGGGGAAGAAGGCCUUCGGGUUGUAAACCCCUUUCAGGAGGGAAGAAAAUGACGGUACCUCCAGAAGAAGCACCGGCCAACUACGUGCCAGCAGCCGCGGUAAUACGUAGGGUGCGAGCGUUAUCCGGAAUCAUUGGGCGUAAAGAGCUCGUAGGCGGUUCAACAAGUCGGCUGUGAAAGUCCGGGGCUCAACCCCGGAAUUGCAGUCGAUACUGUUGUGACUUGAGUCCGGUAGAGGAGAAUGGAAUUCCCGGUGUAGCGGUGGAAUGCGCAGAUAUCGGGAGGAACACCAGUAGCGAAGGCAGUUCUCUGGGCCGGCACUGACGCUGAGGAGCGAAAGCGUGGGGAGCAAAC